AAUUCGCCCUUGAGCACGUAGGUGGGUUUGUAAGUCAGAUGUGAAAGCCUUCUGUUCAACGGAAGAAUUGCAUCUGAAACUACAAGUCUUGAGUGUAGGAGGGGAGAAUGGAACUUCUGGUGGAGCGGUGAAAUCCGUAGAUAUCAGAAGGAGCGCCGGCGGCGAAAGCGAUUCUCUGGCCUAUUACUGACACCCAGUGUGCGAAAGCUAGGGGAGCAAACGGGAUUAGAUACCCCAGUAGUCCUAGCCGUAAACGAUGGGCACUAAGUAGAGGGGAUUACCGACGUUCUCUCUGCCGUAGCUAACGCAUUAAGUGCCCCGCCUGGGGAGUACGGCCGCAAGGCUAAAACUCAAGAGAAUUGACGGGGGCUCGCACAAGCGGUGGAGCAUGUGGCUUAAUUCGAUGCAACGCGAAGAACCUUACCGGGGCUUGACAUGGUAGAAGUAGGAACCCGAAAGGGUAACGAACGGUAUCCAGUCCGUGACUAUCACAGGUGUUGCAUGGCUGUCGUCAGCUCGUGUCGUGAGACGUUGGGUUAAGUCCCCUAACGAGCGAAACCCUUGUUUUUAGUUACCAGCGGGUUGUGCCGGGUACUCUAGAAAGACUGCCGUCGUCAAGACGGAGGAAGGUGGGGAUGACGUCAAGUCAUCAUGGCCCUUAUGCCCCGGGCUGCACACGUGCUACAAUGGUCGGUACAAACGGAAGCGAAGCCGAGAGGUGAAGCGAAUCCAAGGGCGAAUU
rnacentral:rRNA from 1 species